CACACACACACACACACACACACACACACACACACACACACACACACACACACACACACACACGCACACUUAGCAAACCUUUGGUGUUGCUGCUGUUAACAAGAGCUUUAACAUGGCGCUGCCAGUGGUUAGCAAUCUUUUUGAUCAUUUCAUUCAAGGACACCCCCCCCCCCCCCACCAAUAACCCUGACUGCAAUUAAACGACUGCAGUAUACACCCCUCACUUAAUCAGAAAUCAGACGACCCCCUAAAAAUGAUAACCUUUUUUUUCCCUCUCAACAAUACACUUUUGGAUCCCUUGAAAUGGAACACCUCAUUCUCAAACUUUACAGACUUUUGUCAACCUCUAAAGUAUUUAAGCUUUUCUUCAUUUGUUUUUUUUCCACAAAAUCUAGUCGUAGUCAUCUCUUUGUCUUCUUUUGAAGAGAACAAAAUAGAAGCGGUUUGCACAACAAGGAUUUAAAAGAGGCAAGAAUACACCAAGUGUGUACCUUUGGCUACAGUGCGACAUGGGAUUUUGGUAAAGGUUUCAAGAUUUAAGACGACGUUGAACAAAAAAAUGUUAGCAUUGUUAUUUGCUGACGUUUUCAUUGUCCUUUGUUGAUGGAGGCUCCGCUCACAACAUCUGAACGCAGCUGUUUACUAUCAAGCCUUUGCUGCUUGCAAUGAGCUCCGUCUUUUGGGGCAGCAAAUAAUCAAACGGCACAUUCGAACAACAUUCUGACUUUCCGAACGGUCAGAGUCAAACGGCGUGCUUGGAGCGUAUUUCCGAAUGCACCCACAGUGAAGGAACGGGGUUUUGUGAGGCGACGAGUUCGAGGGCGUGUUUGGAAAUAUUCUCAGAGUGUGCGCUGCUUCACUCCAGCCGUUCGAAAUCUCAAAGUUGAAAUACUGCAUUCGAUUAUUCAGCGUGCACCCAAAACAGUGCCGGUGCAGCUCUCAGCACUCCAACUGCGGACACGGUGCACCAGUGCGUCAGGCAGUCCAGAUGGAAACAGUUUAAGCACAAGAUGCUGAUUUUUUUAGAACAUCGUUUACUGUUGGAAAUUUAUUGGAGGGCAGCGAGCUCUGUCUCUCCAAACACAUGACACUCAGUGGUGCACGGCCAUGUGUCCCCAACAAAUUUCUGAACGCGGCCCUACUGUGAAACAAAUCUACUUUAAAUCAAAAUUCCCUCCCCAAAAAUGUCUUGACUCGCCUACCGUAGAAGAAAGAACAAUAGGAAGAAAACCUGCAAAAUGGCAAGCUAAAACUGCAAAAGAUGAAGUUAUUGUGCAAAUCCAGAGUGAAUCCGCAAUAAUCGAACCGCAAAGUAGCAAUGGAAUACUGGUUUCACCUUAUAUCAUGUAUGCCACAAUUAGUAUCCUUGAUGUUAAUACUUCCCUUUUGCCAACAUAAAAGCACCUGUGAUGUUUGACAAGAUGGAAGAGUACAGUCUCAAUCACCCAGCAACACGAGUCCUCUCCUCUACAUGCUCCUGUAUCACUUACUCCACUGGGGUUGAGGUCCAGGGACUGCGAUGACCAUCGGAUGAGCUUGAUUCAAUAUCUGCAGUACUCCAUAGAAAGAAAAGUCAAGCGAUUACAAAAACUUGGAAAUGAAGCUGCAUCCCGGAAUGGAUCGUUUUUCGCCUUUACGGCCCACCAAACAUAACUGUGCUCCUUCAGUGCCGGAUCAUGAAUCACGGAAAGUGAUUGGGAAUGAGACCACUUGGGUCAGCGACCACUCGAGGUAUGACUGCUACAAAGGACACAUUGCCCCCAACCUAGCUUGCGCCGAGAUGACCGCUCAAAUCACUCGGAAGGAAUGAGGAUGGUCCCGUUUAAGAUUACAACGUCCGGUGUCAAUCGCCAAUCGCUCAUAGUCUCGUCAGCUCAUGUCAUUUGUCUUUAGCACACUGUGAUACUAACAAACUUCUUCCAAGACUCUGGAUUCCUGGAGGAGGCAACACAUCAUGAGCUGACUGACGAGGUUUGGUGGCUCGGAUGACGUUGCCACGUCCAGGAAAAUACACAUGAAUGUUAAUGAUGCGCUAUAUAGAUAGGUGAAAAUAUCCUGCUCAUUUCAAAUUGUUAUGGAUACAAGUGGCCGAAAUGAGUUUUCUCUGCGGGGUGUCUGGGCUCUUCCUUAGAGACAUGUACGGUGAGAAGCCCGGUCUUCCGAGAGGGGGCUCAGUAUAGCUGCUCUUCAACAUUGAGAUGAGGCAGAUGAGGGGGUUUGGGGAUCUGAUUUGAUACCUCUUAGACGCCUCUCUGGUGAGGUAUUUUGGGGCACGUUCCACGGGGAGAAGGGCCUAGGCACACUGGAGAGAUUCCGGUUACCCUGGAAACACUUUGAAAUCCGCUUGGAAGAGUUGGAUGAUGAAGUGGCUGGGGAGAGGAAGCCUGGGCUUCUCUCUCUAUAGCUGCUGCCCCCGACGAUCCGCUCCUCAGAUAAGCAGAGGUCAAUAGAUGGAUGGCUGGAUUUGAAAAUGUUAUGGAUAUAGUAGAGUAUAUAAUGUAAUGUAUUAAAAUACGUGGUUGUAUAAUAGAACCGAUAAUUACUGUCUUGACUUAUCGCUAGAUGUGAGAAAUGGACACAAUAGUUUUUUUUAUUUGACUUGAUAAAUUGUUUACAUACCUCAUCAACAUUCAAUUGCGCUGCUUCGUUCCCUCCCAUCAGUCACUGUGCUUGCUGCUGUGUUGGUUCUCACUUAUGCAUUGCACGCUGACAGCCGAACGACCUUUAAAAGCCGUUGAAAUGGUUUGGCUCGACUGUUCCUAUCCAGUUCGCAUAUGUCCCAUCAGUUCAUCGUCACACGAAACUUUUUUUCUCACGAGGCGCAGCAGUGAGCCGUAGCACUAGUAAUGGUCAAGUAGUGCUAAUGCUGGCCGGCACAACCAUGCAUUCAGCUACCUAUGCGGCAUUUAAAACUGAAAGUCUGCAGUUGCAUGUUGUAUUUCAAAUCUAUUGUGGUGGCUUUUGGAGUCCAAAAGCUCAGAAAUGUGUCAUGUCCAAAUUUUUAUGGUCUCACUGCAGUUAGCUCCCAUAAAAACAUUACCUAUGAUUGCGUUCUAAAUAACAAAUGUAGAUUGUGGCUAAAUAUAGGUACGGAUUUCUUAGUCAUUGACUGAGAUCAAUUUUAUUCAAGAAGAGAAACAGGGCAACAAAAAAAAAACAACAACAAAAAAAGUCAACACCAGUACAUCAUCAAGUCUCACAUGAUCUGUUUUUCGUGCUUUCUUCUGCGUUUGUUUUUGUGACACUUAUUCCAAGAAGGCUUUAGCCUAAGUUUGUUGUCAUGUUUCUGUGGUGCACCUUUUGCACCCCCACGUCAACAACCCUGAAUGAUUCCUCCAGAUUGUCUGUCUCUUCUUUUAUUGUGACAAUAAAUCUGAUGUAACAAGCUGAAAACAGCCAUAAAUCUGGACUGGGGCUCAGAUUGCAACGCACCAAGCCUCCCGGGGGGAGCGCCGUAAAAGCACCGAGUGUGUAUGACAGUAUUAGUAUUGUUAUUGUGGCCUGGCAACUUUUUUUUAUUUUUAAACCAACACUUAACGUCAAGCAGAUGAUUGCCGUGUUGUCAGUGGCUGAGAGGCAGACUCACAAACAAAAGUAAAGAAUGAGUGUUAAAAUUGGUAUUUACAUAUCAGAGAGAUGUGUCAUCUGAGAGGAGACCAAGGGCAGCAAAAAAAUGAAGCGGUUUACUGCAUGUUAGGAAAAAAAAUUAAAAUAAAGGCUGAGCAGACAAAUAUUAUCCAAGAGGAGACUUCAGCCAGCAAGAAAAUGAACCGCUUUACUUGAGUUUGCCCAAAAAUGAGAAUGGGCGUGUGAAUAAUAUGUAUUAACUCUCUAAUAAGGAAAAUACUCUUCUCCAAGAAGAGACUAAGGGAAGCAAGAAAAUGGAUAUUACAAGACUUGCAAACAAGCAACAAAAUCAGACAACAAAUGCAUUUGCCAGUGUUACUAUUGUCAUUGUAAUAAAUAUAUUUACUCCUCACGGAUCAAUCUUUAUCUGAGAGGGACAAAGUGCACAAGAAAGUGGAGUACUGACAGAUGUAUAGAAUGAGUGGAAAUACAGGUACCGGUAUUUAAAUUCUCUCUAGGUAAGGAGAAUAAUUCAACAAGGCCUGCAAGAAUUGAAACAACAAAAAAUAGAACGAGGGUACUGGUGUUUAAUUUUCUGGUGGAACUGUGAGAGGAGACUAAUGGCAUCAGAAAAAUGAACUGCUGCAAUACAUGCAGAGCAAGAAAAUUAAAACCAAAAGGAAAUAAACGAGUAUUAAUACAGGUAUUUAAGGGGGAGACAACUCUUAUCUGAGACGAGACUAUGGGAGGCAAGAAAAGCUGUUUCUAACAAAUAAAUGAGGAGAAAGGUAAAUACUUUUUUGUAAGGAGAUGAUUAUUAUUUACAUAAGAUCCUGCUUUUCUAUUUACCUUAGUCUCCCUUUGGAUAAAAUAUGUCUUACUGAAGUGUCAAGUCAGCUUUAUAGUCAAAGAUGUUCUAUGUUCAAGCACAAAUGAAUAUGUUUAUGGGUAUGUUUAUCCUCUUUAUUUGUUGUAUUUCAGCCUUCUGUUUUCUUGUUGCCCUCUUGGGUAAAUUGUCUCUCUUUUCCGGAAAGAAAAUGUAUUUGUCUUUUUUUUUUAGCAGUAAUGUUUCAUACUGCCCUUAGUCUCCUCUUAGAGAGAAGUCAUAUCCUUUCCUAGAAGUAAAUACCUACAGUAUAUAAUUACCCUUUGUUUUCUACCUCAUUGUCCUCUUGAAUAAAAUGUGUCUUACAGAGAAUGACAGUUUUAUCUUGUUUGUCCUCCCCUUUUGACAGUGUAUUUUGCAACACUACAUUUUCUAGCUGCCCUUAGUCUUCUCUUGGGAUCAAAUUUGUCAUCACAAGCUGAUAUCUCACUAAGCGAGGAAUGCUUGCAACGUAGCAAAUUUGGGGUUUUCGUCAGGGUUCAUAAAAGGUUCCAAUGAUGUUUGCAGACAGUUUUUACCUGACGCAAAUAGUUUGUCUUUUGCGAAUAAAUUUGAACAUGUUCAAAAUUUCUAUGAAAAUGUUGAAAUUUGAAGUUUAUGUUUACAAGCGUCCGCAAACAAUUGCCGCUCAGCGAGAUACCAGGUUUACUGACUAAGCAUACUGAUAUGUUACUAUAUUACUAUUAAAGUAUGAUUUAUGACAUGAAUCUGUUUUCAUAUGAGUUCUCCCAAAGAACUUGAGGGAUUGAGGCCAACGAGUCUGUCGGAAAUAAGAGUAUAAUUGUGCUGGCGGUAAAAAAUGUAAAAUAAUAAA